AGUGAACGCUGGCGGUAGGCCUAACACAUGCAAGUCGAACGGCAGCACAGGAGAGCUUGCUCUCUGGGUGGCGAGUGGCGGACGGGUGAGGAAUACAUCGGAAUCUACUUUUUCGUGGGGGAGAACGUAGGGAAACUUACGCUAAUACCGCAUACGACAUACGGGUGAAAGCAGGGGACCUUCGGGCCUCGCGCGAUUGAAUGAGCCGAUGUCGGAUUAGCUAGUUGGCGGGGUAAAGGCCCACCAAGGCGCCGAUCCGUAGCGGGUCUGAGAGGAUGAUCAGCCCCACUGGAACUGAGACCCGGUCCAGACUCCUACGGGAGGCAGCAGUGGGGAAUAUUGGACAAUGGGCGCAAGCCUGAUCCAGCCAUACCGCGUGGGUGAAGAAGGCCUUCGGGUUGUAAAGCCCUUUUGUUGGGAAAGAAAUCCAGCUGGCUAAUACCCGGUUGGGAUGACGGUACCCAAAGAAUAAGCACCGGCUAACUUCGUGCCAGCCGCCGCCGUAA
rnacentral:rRNA from 1 species